CUGAGUAAUCGAACCCAGGACCUCAUGCAAGCCAGGUAUAGAAUGUGGCUGGCUUCCACUGAGUAUCUCUUUAGUGUGGGAUGAAAUGUGGGAAUGCCCGGGACCAAAGAUUGUUGAAGGCAACUAGAUAGUUGUAACUACUUCCAAAUGCCGGCAAACAAAUAAAAAUCAGAAUUUUCCAAACCAACAUUAGUAAACAAAAAGAGUUCCUCGAUGCUGUUUCCUGAAAGAGAGGGAAAUCUAAAUUCGUGGGAGCCUAUGAUGUAAAGAUGUACUUCCUGUAAUAUACAGCUUGAUGGAGUAAUAGUAUAUGUCAGAAACACUUCCUCAGUAAUAACUCGUACAGACAGAUUAAACCGAACACAGACUUGGUUAAAAAGUUCGAAGCGUUACAUCUCUUAAUAACUGAGUGGUUGUAACUAAUGACACAGUGAAAUAAAUGAACAAUAGAGAUGGAGAACCAAAGGUCAGAGGCAUUUUCUAAGAUGCUUCC